AAAUCCCGCGAGAGCUGGGCACCGCCGCCCCCACGCUGGGUCGCCGCGCGGCCGUUGCCAGUGUUUUGAGGCAGACUCUGCUUCCAGUUCUUCCGACAGCAGAACUGUGAGCAUACAACUCAUUGUGAAAAUUUCCCUGAAGAAAGAUGGCCUUCUAAUCCCUAGAGAGGCAGGUAGAGAUGCAGACCUGGUGUAAGGAGUGCAGCUCUUUCGCUUUUCCUAAAACAAAGGAAGGACUGAAAUAAAAAACUGUAAUCUGCUAUCAGCUUUGGCUGUGCUCCCUGACUCCCAGCUCUUCUUUGAUUCAGGUUUGCAGUGAAAGGAUCAGAACGGGCCAGAGGAGGCCAGCAUGUCCCAGCCUGGUGGUGGCCACUGCCAUCCCUGUCCCACAGGAGACAAAGCUGCCAGCCGGAGGAUGAGCAGGAGGCAGCAGGCACAGAGGGACGAGGACUGAAGAUGGAGGGCGCUCAGUGGCAGGGAAGCAGAGAGAUGGGGGCACUAGAACAUCUCAUUAUGGCUUGAGGACUUUCUGUAAGUGUCAGUAACCUUAUAGCAACAUCAAACACUUCUAAUUUAAUUUGGAAUCAAGCUGAUUUCUCCACAUAAAUAUUUCACUCUUCAAACCUC